rnacentral:rRNA from 1 species
UACGUAGGGUGCAAGCGUUGUCCGGAAUUAUUGGGCGUAAAGAGCUCGUAGGCGGUCUGUCGCGUCGGCUGUGAAAUCCCGGAGCUCAACUCCGGGCCUGCAGUCGAUACGGGCAGACUGGAGUUCGGCAGGGGAGACUGGAAUUCCUGGUGUAGCGGUGAAAUGCGCAGAUAUCAGGAGGAACACCGGUGGCGAAGGCGGGUCUCUGGGCCGAUACUGACGCUGAGGAGCGAAAGCGUGGGGAGCGAACAGG